AAGCAUCAGAGGGGGCUUUAACUAUAGCUCCAUGAAAGAUCCUGCACAGAGAUCUCUUGAGGAGCUGUGGACAAUACUCCCAAAAGGAAACCCGAGACCAUCCUCGGAAUUACAACAUCAUCCACUACAGCAAGGAAGCAUAAAACAGCUCAUUAGCAGCCCUAUCAAGUGACGGACCUAAAGCCAGCUCCAAAGUGCCCACACCUGUCUGCCCACACUGCCAGCCAGAAGGCCGGAUUCCACCGAGUAAAGAAUCAUUAUCCCAGCUCUACAUCUGGAUGUGGGACAGCUGCAGAGCUUCAGGGCACCACAGUGUAUCCAGAAGCAAGCAACUGAG
rnacentral:lncRNA from 1 species